UAUUGUUGCUUGUUGUCCGAAAUUUGGUAUUCGGAUUUUACUCAUAUUUGAAUAUGUGUGUGGUUAUGAUUCUAAUUCGAAUAUGCAAAACCUUAGGGAAAGUGCGAGCCAAUCUACUCUUACUCAAUAAAUCACAUUUCUGAGCGUUUUGCUUUUUUGGAGACAGUUCUCUAAUGGUUUCUUAGAGCUAACUGAUGGAAUGACUUUUAAAGGGUUGAAACUUGGUUACCUGGUUUACAUAUACUUAGUAAUCUGAUAACACGGCAAUGAUAACAUACUACUACUAAGUUACUUGAACAUAAUUCGAAAAACAAGUAGAGAGACGUUGAGUUCAAUGUAUAUGGCUGCACAGCUAGGAAAAAAUUCUUUUAAGAAGGAAAUAGUGUAACAUAAACUGAAAUGGAAGUAAUACCAGUUAGGCAACUUAUGACUCUCACCUACUGUUCUGUGUUCACUUAUUUUAGGGGAGGCAAAUGAUUAUACAUUUGCCCUAAUGUCUGUUUUGUGGAAUAGUGGUGCUAUUGUGGCUUGUAAUUUCUGGUGAAUUUCUUCAAUAUCAGUUGUGGAAGUGUUAUAUUGAUUGAUUAGUGCUGGCGUUUGUGGGACAUUGCUGAAGUUUGGGAGAAGUUUUGCUGUUGUAUACUAACUGUUUGAUACAAGUACAACUUACUGCAUUAUGGAUUCAAUGAAAUUAUGCCUGUGCUGCUGUCUGGAAUGCUUACUUUGGAAUUACUUUCUUUUCGGCGAUGUUAAGUUUUGUGAGAAGUGGCAAUGAAAUUAUGACCCAUAUGGUUUCUUUUUCUAAAAUUUAUUGGUUGUUAAUAGUCUCUGUAACAUAUGCUGAAAUCUUCUCUGUUGAACAACCUUACUAUUGGUGAUAUUGCCGUCUCUGUGACCACAAUGCUCAAAAUGUAUUGUUCAAAUCAGCUUUAGAUGUAUGUAAGUGAUUCAUACGGGAAUUUUGUGUUUGCUAAAUUAGGGGUAGUGAUGAAUGGUUGAAUGUUAGUAAUUGCAGUGAAGGAUGAAUGUGCAUAUAACCUAUUUGGUGAAAGGCUCAAGUGAUUGCGUGUUAUAAUUAUUGUUGUUUGCCUGACUUCUGAUGGAGGUUCUUAUCAUAUAGAUAUAUUAGCUAUUUGCUUAUUAGUUUUCCAUUUUGUUUCUUUUUUUUCUCUGAUUUAUUUUCACAAUUAAAUUUCUAAUUUUAUUUGUCGUCUGCUAGUUAUGAUCCUUCGUAUUAACUAAGUGCAUUGUUGCUUGAUAGGCAGCUGAGAGCUCAAAAACAGGUGCUGAAAUUAUUAGGGUCGACGCCGACAUUAAGCAAUUUGAUAGGCAUCGGAGUUAGGAAGUGGCGCACCGUCACCAAUUGAUGAUCGACCGAGUACCAAUUAGUAAUUAAUUUUAGGAUCAACUAUGUAUUUUUGGGUAUUAUUGUUGAAUGACAUAAUGAAACUUUGAUGUUGAAACUUUGGAAUACUUGUUUUAUAUGAUGAAGAUUUUGCUUA